rnacentral:rRNA from 1 species
UACGUAGGGUGCGAGCGUUGUCCGGAAUUAUUGGGCGUAAAGAGCUUGUAGGCGGUUUGUCGCGUCUGCUGUGAAAAUCCGGGGCUCAACCCCGGACUUGCAGUGGGUACGGGCAGACUAGAGUGUGGUAGGGGAGACUGGAAUACUUGGUGUAGCAGUGAAAUGCGUAGAUAUCAAGUGGAACACCAGUGGCGAAGGCGAGUCUCUGGACAUUUCCUGACGCUGAGGCACGAAAGCCAGGGGAGCAAACGGG